rnacentral:rRNA from 1 species
AACGCUGGCGGCAUGCCUUACACAUGCAAGUCGAACGGCAGCACGGGAGCAAUCCUGGUGGCGAGUGGCGAACGGGUGAGUAAUAUAUCGGAACGUGCCCAGUCGUGGGGGAAUAACGUAGCGAAAGCUACGCUAAUACCGCAUACGAUCUAUGGAUGAAAGCGGGGAUCGCAAGACCUCGCGCGAUUGGAGCGGCCGAUAUCAGAUUAGGUAGUUGGUGAGGUAAAGGCUCACCAAGCCGACGAUCUGUAGCUGGUCUGAGAGGACGACCAGCCACACUGGGACUGAGACACGGCCCAGACUCCUACGGGAGGCAGCAGUGGGGAAUUUUGGACAAUGGGCGCAAGCCUGAUCCAGCAAUGCCGCGUGCAGGAUGAAGGCCUUCGGGUUGUAAACUGCUUUUGUACGGAACGAAACGGUGAGCUCUAAUACAGUUUGCUAAUGACGGUACCGUAAGAAUAAGCACCGGCUAACUACGUG